UUGACAAUGAUGGGACCUUAAAUUGUCUUGAAGAGAAAUAACUUAAAAGUUAUGCUCAAUAGAAUUAAACAGGCUA
rnacentral:snoRNA from 1 species